UACGUAGGUGGCAAGCGUUGUCCGGAUUUAUUGGGCGUAAAGCGAGCGCAGGCGGAAAGAUAAGUCUGAUGUGAAAGCCCCCGGCUUAACCGAGGAAUUGCAUCGGAAACUGUGUCCCUUGAGUGCGCGAAGGGUAGGCGGAAUGCGUGGUGUAGCGGUGAAAUGCAUAGAUAUCACGCAGAACUCCGAUCGCGAAGGCAGCCUACCGGCGCGCAACUGACGCUCAUGCACGAAAGCGUGGGUAUCGAACAGG
rnacentral:rRNA from 1 species